GACGAACGCUGGCGGCGUGCUUAACACAUGCAAGUCGAACGGUGAAGCGAGUGCUUGCACUCGUGGAUCAGUGGCGAACGGGUGAGUAACACGUGAGUAACCUGCCCAUCACUCUGGGAUAAGCACUGGAAACGGUGUCUAAUACUGGAUACGACCAACCCUUGCAUGGGGUGUUGGUGGAAAGAUUUAUCGGUGAUGGAUGGACUCGCGGCCUAUCAGCUUGUUGGCGGGGUAAUGGCCCACCAAGGCGACGACGGGUAGCCGGCCUGAGAGGGUGACCGGCCACACUGAGACUGAGACACAGCCCAGACUCCUACGGGAGGCAGCAGUGGGGAAUAUUGCACAAUGGGCGAAAGACUGAUGCAGCGACGCCGAGUGAGGGAUGACGGCCUUCGGGUUGUAAACCUCUUUCAGCAGGGAAGAAGCGAAAGUGACGGUACCUGCAGAAGAAGCACCGGCUAACUACGUG
rnacentral:rRNA from 1 species